rnacentral:lncRNA from 1 species
UCCGCAAAAGCUUAGCUUGGUACUGAAGGGUAACCAUAAUUAGGUGUGGAUACAUUGCCAGCCACAUUGAGAUUUGCAGCUAUAAAUGAAGUCUUAGUCAUCCUCUGUUCCGUACUGGAUGUUGAACCACAUCAGUACUUAAAAAACUAUUGAGGACUCUGUGUUUGAUGUGCCAUUGAUAAUGAAUUUGCAGGACUUCUUCUAUAUUUCAUAUUGAUCCAUGAGCAUGAGUUUUU